rnacentral:misc_RNA from 1 species
UUCUUGGACUUGAUAUAUCUCUUGCAAGGAAUCACAAUUAGCUACAGACAAAACCUCUAAUGUCUUGAAAUUGCUCCAGACUCCCUGUGGAAAAACAGUCUCUAGAGCUUUACAAUUUGCAAUAGUCAAUUUUUUUAGUUCGUCAAAGGAACCCGGAGCGACUUGGUUGUGCCAUAACUUCUUUGUAUGGUAACUUCCAAAGAUUUCCAUUUCUUCCAAGGUUGGAAAGGCAAUUACCUUUUCAUCAAAGAGUGGUUCAAUUUCAGUGCAGUUGUCUUCAUCAAGUGGGUUUAAAUAUAGACAGAGAUGCUUCAAAUGUGGAAGAGAUUCCCUUACUGUAUCAUGGAACACACUUCUAAUCCCUUCUGCUAUGACUAAGGAUAGAUCUUCCGUUUUCUUCAACAAUAUUUUAACCCAAUUCUCCAAAUGAAUGCUUCUAUCAAGCCUGAGCUUCAGUAUUCUUGAGAGUUCAUUGUUCCCAUACCAACUCCCCCACUCCCAAUCUCCAAUUUGUAUCCUAUACCUUUUCAAAUUUUUGCAGGGCAAGUUUUUUGGAAACAUCUUGGCAUUUAUUUCCAAAGCAGUCAAUUGAGACAAACAUUCCAACUCAGCAAUGCUUGCAUUUCUUUCCCCGCUGAGCACUUCCUCAUCCCACUUAUUAAAGCUCCCCAUAUACAGUUCUUCUAAUUGAGACAAUCCUGAUAUAACAUUUAAUGGAAUAACUUCUAGACGACCACAACCUCUCAAAUCUAGCAACUGAAGCUGAGUUAAUUGCCCUAUUUCUCUUGGCAACAGUUUAACCACCCUAAAACGUUGAAAAAUAAGUACUCUUAAUUGCUUCAACUCUCCAAUAAUGGACAUAUCAUCUAACAUGCAAGAAAAAAAGCACAAGGCGCGGAGGUUUGUUAAAGAACCAAGUGACCUUGGUAGUGAUUUGAAAUGGAUAUACUUCAAAUGCAAUGCUUUGAGUUUCCGAGUCCCUUCGAAAAAUAAAUCAGGUAUUUUCAAAGAUUCAUCAGUAGUGCCAAGCAUAAGAAACUCAAGCUCAGGGGAUUCCAACCUUUCAGGAAGCUCCUGAAUAUUGCAGUAAGGUAAAUAAAUUCUGGUGCAGCUUUUAAGCCUAUCCUCCUUUGGCCAUUCCUUCAAUUCAACUCCAUCAGAGCUCGUCAACACUUGUUGAGUUCUAGAGGCAAUUAAGACAGCAGUAUCUCGAACAAGGUCAUGCAUUUUCACACAACCUUCCCAAUCACCAUCUUGUAACAAGCAAAAGUCUUUGAGCUCACGGAUAGAUUUACAUGCCAUGUUUCUUGCAUCCUCCACUCUCUCGAUGCCAUUGAAUAAACUCAGAGCUAGGCUGUAACUCACUAAGUUUUCCAUCGGAAUGUUAGAUGUUCGAACCAAACCACAGAGCAAGAAAAAUGACUUCACUUCUUCUUCUUCCAAACUAGUGUAACUCGACUCUAUGGCCUCGUAUGCUGUAAUUUGUCCUUCAUUUUCCCCCCUAGAGAAUUUCUGCAUGGCAACCUUCCAUUCAUUUGACCUUGUUUUUUUCAAACGCUUUGCAACUGUGACAAUUGAGAGGGGCAAACCAGCACACAUUCUGGCAAUUUCAGUUGCCUUAGAUUGCAAUUCAUCAUUUUCAAUCUCACCCACCUCCUUUCGAAAUAAACUCUGUGCCUCAUCUUCCUUCAGGACUUCAAGCUCGAAUUCUUUUUCCGUACCCAUCUCGCGGGAUAAUACAUCACGAUUCCUUGAAGUUAGAAAUAUUUUGCAACCCUUGUGAUCUGUUGCAGAAGGAAUUCCUACUGUCUUCAAAAAAAAUUUUUCCCAAAUAUCAUCCAAGAUGACAAGGAUCUUAUUCUUCUUCAUCAACACCUGAUGUAGCCGCGAUGCUUUGCCAUAUCGAGAUCCUUCUUCCAGUUUCACCCCCAUUACAUCAGCAAUCGUUUUCUGAAUUUCGUCGAUGUCUGGUGUUCGAGACACCGUAGCCAUAACCACCACGUCGAACGAGUCGCCUUCAAAUGCUUUUCUAUAAAUCUCCUUGGCCAGUGUGGUCUUUCCCACACCAGCCAUCCCAUACACCCCUAUCAUGCUAAUUUCAGGAUCCAUUAUUGCAUCCAUAACUAUUUUCAAUAUUAACAAUCUAGAAUUUAUGCCCUCAUGACCGUAGACUGACGGUUCAAUUAACUGCUGUAGAGCUGGACGGUAGGAAAUUGGAUCAAAUCUGCUUCCAUUCUGGAGCUCAGUAAUAGCCAAAGCUUCCUUCUCUGCAUUCUUCCCAAGCUGGUAGCGCUUCUUCAAAUUGGGAAUAAGUCCAUAGCAAUACUUCUCCCUUGCUUGAUCUUCAGUAGUAAUAACAUUCUCAGCCUCUUCAAUGGCCAAUUUUGCAUCAGUCAACCACUUUUUAACUCCAGGCAUGAUCUCGUCUCCCCUCCCUGUAGCUUGAUCAACAUACAGCUGCAAAUCUUCUCUUUCAGUGGUCAACUUCUCAACCUGCUUCUUGAGUGUUUCAACCUUGCUCUUGAAGGUGAAUGCGUAACCGAUGCGUCGUUUAAUUGGGGCAAGAACGUAUUCUUUGAUGGGAUCAACAGCCAAGCCGCUGAAUAUUUUUAGAAUUGUCUCCCAAGCCAUUUCAGAUAGAGUCCUACACAGGACACAGAAGUAACGGUAAAUAGUGUGAAACCGUGAAUUUGAGAGUGAAGAGCGAAACAAAGUGAGAAAGGUAAUGGAUAAUAAACAAGAGAACGGAGGAAAAUUGGAGGUAAUGAGUAGCUGAAAUAAAGGAUGUAUAUGGUAGAUAAGAGAGAGAAAGGAAUGGCAAAAGAAGAAAGCUGAUACGAAGAGAAGGGAAAGAAGAUGAGUUCUGUAUGAGGAGCUAAAAGCAAGUGAGGUGAAGAGAAAGAAAGCAGAAACUCAAUAAAGAGAAAGGGAAAAUGCGUGUAGUCUUAUUAAGGAGUAAUCAUAAAACCGUUUAAUUCUUUUU